ACCUAUUAAACAAAUGCAUCACAACAAUGACACCAACCAAAAGUUACACACUUCACACAUCACAGAUGAAAAAAUAGUUAAUUUAAUCCAAAAAUAUUCGUCAAAGCAGUUCAAAAUUCAAAAAUAUUAUUCUUCCUUUCUUGUUAAAUCAAGUAGCAAGGCAUUUUUAUUUUAAAGUUAAAAUCCUUAAGCAACACAAAGCUAAGGUCAAUUCCUUUACCAAAAUAAAAGAAAACACAAUUGAUCAAUAAACAUAACCAUAUAUUAAAAAUGAUUGCAACUAAAAUAACACUAAAUUCAUAUAGAUCUAAAAGAAAAAUAAAGCCACCUAUAAAACAAAUGGAUAAUAAGAAUGACACGAACCUAAAAUUGCACAUUUAACACGUCACAUAUGACAAAAUAGUAAAUUUAAUCCGAAAUUUCUCAUCAAAUCAGUUCAGAAUUCAAACAAAUUAAACUUCUUCUUUUUUAACCCAAGCAGCAAUAUAUUUUUAUUUUUAAUUAAAAAUCCUUAAGGAAACCAAAGUUACAGUCAAUUAUACACAAGACAAUGAUACAGGUCUGUCAUAACAUCAAUUUCUUUUUUCUCAGAUUAUGAUAAUGAUACAGAUCCGAAGAGAUCACACAAAUAGU